AUUGAACGCUGGCGGCAGGCUUAACACAUGCAAGUCGAGCGGGGUGAUGGUGCUUGCACUAUCACUUAGCGGCGGACGGGUGAGUAAUGCUUAGGAAUCUGCCUAUUAGUGGGGGACAACAUCUCGAAAGGGAUGCUAAUACCGCAUACGUCCUACGGGAGAAAGCAGGGGAUCACUUGUGACCUUGCGCUAAUAGAUGAGCCUAAGUCGGAUUAGCUAGUUGGUGGGGUAAAGGCCUACCCAGGCGACGAUCUGUAGCGGGUCUGAGAGGAUGAUCCGCCACACUGGGAAUGAGACACGGCCCAGACUCCGACGGGAGGCAGCAGUGGGGAAUAUUGGACAAUGGGGGGAACCCUGAUCCAGCCAUGCCGCGUGUGUGAAGAAGGCCUUAUGGUUGUAAAGCACUUUAAGCGAGGAGGAGGCUCUUUUGGUUAAUACCCAAGAUGAGUGGACGUUACUCGCAGAGUAAGCACCGGCUAACUCUGUGCCAGCAGCCGCAGUAA
rnacentral:rRNA from 1 species